rnacentral:rRNA from 1 species
GACGAACGCUGGCGGCGUGCUUAACACAUGCAGGUCGAACGGAUCACAUUGCUUCGGUUUUGUGGUGAGUGGCGAACGGGUGAGUAACACGUGAGUGACCUGCCCCCUUCUUUGGGAUAACGUCGGGAAAUCGGCGCUAAUACUGGAUAUUCUGGUUUCCUCGCAUGGGGUUUCUGGGAAAGGUUUUCUGGUGGGGGAUGGGCUCGCGGCCUAUCAGCUUGUUGGUGGGGUGAUGGCCUACCAAGGCGGUGACGGGUAGCCGGCCUGAGAGGGUGUCCAGCCACACUGGGACUGAGACACGGCCCAGACUCCUACGGGAGGCAGCAGUGGGGAAUAUUGCACAAUGGGCGCAAGCCUGAUGCAGCGACGCCGCGUGAGGGAUGACGGCCUUCGGGUUGUAAACCUCUUUCAGUACAGAACAAGGCCUUCGGGUUGAGGGUAUGUGCAGAAGAAGCGCCGGCUAACUACGUGCCAGCCGCCGCCGUAACAC